rnacentral:SRP_RNA from 1 species
GACUCGGACCUAUGCGGCUUUGACGCCUAUACCUGGUCAGAACCGGAAGGUAGCAGCCAAACGGGAUGCUUGAAGCAGGCGUGGACUCCGGGUCACC